rnacentral:lncRNA from 1 species
ACCUCACUCAAAAAGGUUAGUUGUGGCUUCUUUGACCUUAUAUAAGUACUUAAGUCCUAUCUAGUAUAUAAUCAAUUUAAAACUAAACACAUGCCAACACAGAUCCUCACACACUUCGUCUAUUCUGACCUUGGUGUUCUCACCGAGUUAAGGAUCCAAAUUUAAUACAGAUAUCACAAAUCCAAUUGCAAACACCAUGAUCAAUCUAUGAUGAGCUUAAAUGGGCUUGUAUUAUAGUGUCUGCUAGUCUACAUAAGUCAUAGACUUGGCUCACUUUGAUAUCAUUUGUAAUGAUCC